CGCGCAGGCGGUUUGAAUAGUCAGAUGUGAAAGCCCACGGCUUAACCGUGGAAGUGCAUUUGAAACUGUCAGACUUGAGUACCAGAGGGGAAAGUGGAAUUCCCGGUGUAGAGGUGAAAUUCGUAGAUAUCGGGAGGAAUACCGGUGGCGAAGGCGACUUUCUGGCUGGAUACUGACGCUGAGGCGCAAAAGCGUGGGGAGCAAACA
rnacentral:rRNA from 1 species